GGUGAACGCUGGCGGCGUGCCUAACACAUGCAAGUCGAGCGGUGCAGUUUGAAGCUUCGGUGGAAAGCUGCAUAGCGGCGGACGGGUGAGGAAAACGUAGGAACGUGCCCCUUGGAGUUGGAUAGCCACGGGAAACUGUGGGUAAACCGACAUAGACUCGAGAGAGUAAAGGCCGAAAGGCGCCAAGGGAGCGGCCUGCGGCCCAUCAGGUAGUUGGUAGUGUAAAGGACUACCAAGCCGACGACGGGUAGCCGGUCUGAGAGGAUGGCCGGCCACAAGGGCACUGAGAGACGGGCCCUACUCCUACGGGAGGCAGCAGUGGGGAUUUGGACAAUGGGCGAAAGCCUGAUCCAGCGACGCCGCGUGGAGGACGAAAGCCCUUCGGGGUGUAAAACGUCCUUUCUUCAGGGAAAAAGGAUGAUGGUACCUGAGGAAUAAGCCCGGCUAACUACGUGCCAAGCAGCCGCGGUAAAAAUAGCGUACU
rnacentral:rRNA from 1 species